UAUUUCUAUUGAAACUAUGCUGUGACUUGGCACACACUGAAAAUCCGAGAGAGUAGGGAUUGUUUUUCACCGCUCCCUUUCUUCUCCUGGCACCGCCGAAGGCAGCCCCUAUUGAGGGUUGCUAGGGCCCGGGGUCCUAGGUUUCUAUGACUACGCAAGGCUUUCCGGGAAAAGGCUAGGCCUCCGGCGCCCGGCGGGAAACACAAUUUACUGGUACCGGUAGUAAGUGUCCAUUUCCCAUCGGUUUAAAUGAAGAAAUGAUGAAAGCCCUAGCGCUGCCAGAACCCUGAGUCUGUGAGGGCAGUGCUUGUGGGAGAGGUUGGGGUCCCUAACUGACUGUCUAGAGCGCGCCACCGAGCUGCCAGCGGCCAGUGUGUAGGGUCAGCGGGUAAGGUGUGCGGGUGUGUCCUUCCCGGCCUCUGCCCGGACCCUGACGCCCAUGCAAGCUUCUGAGUCAGGACAGAUGGCGUGAGAGAUCACAGAGGACUCCGAAAAAGGGUAAACCACGGAAGAGGGAUUCUGAAACGCCAAUCUAAACAUAAGCAUUUUAAUGAGUCUUUUGUUUAUUUUGUUUUCUCUACAGGACAGUGUAGUAACCUGAAAGAGCCAGUAGCAGACUGAUUUAUUUCUGAGUUAUCUUUCUGGAGGAAUAUGUCACAUUACAAAAAAGAGUGAUAGGAAGCAUUAUUGUGUCUCUCCCGAAAACGCCAACCUCACCGUUAAAGUCCCCACCAUCUUAUGACCCUAGGAAGUCAAAAGUAUCUGCCUUCAAGGAGACAAGAGGGUACCCUUCCAUGUGCUAUAGACCAUGUCUGGCAGCACCCGAUUCGAAGGAAUAAAUUCAAAUACCUGAUUGACCAUCCUGACUUCCUAACAGGAGCUGCAGGGUAAAGAAGGAAGAGGGCAGGAUAGAGGCAGAUAAAUAGAGUUGUUUUCUCAUUUCAUAUGCUAUACUUGGUAGGGGCAGGAUUGAAAAUAUAAAAUCGUUGAUUAUAAAACAUGCUGUAUCUUUGAUAAAUCAGAAUACAGUCUAGAAGGACAAAGGAUCACCAUUUUGUAUGUGGUUAUCAUCAAUAUGAUAGCUAUAGGGCCAGGGAUUUAGCUCAGUGGCUCUAUGUGCCUGCCUUGCAAAUGCAAGGUCCUGAGUACCAAAAAAAAGAAAAGAAAAGAA
rnacentral:lncRNA from 1 species